rnacentral:lncRNA from 1 species
AGGAAAAGAAACGGCUAAGUUGAAUCUUAUCCGAUGAGGUGAAGUCUAAUGAGGCUGACUAAUGUAUGCUUACGGUCGAAGUCAAAACUCGAUAUGCUCAAAUAUUCUACCAUCUAUCGUCUGUGUUACAGACCAGUAACCAUAGAGAAGGGAGUAAAUAAUUUGAUGCCGAAGUCAUACAUAGCCGAUCCUAAAAAUUUCGCUCA